rnacentral:tRNA from 1 species
GCUAUGAGAAGCUAACGAGCAUUGGUCUUGUAAAUCAAAGACAAGAAAUUACUUUUUCUCCAUAGCU